UACGUAGGGUGCAAGCGUUGUCCGGAAUUAUUGGGCGUAAAGAGCUCGUAGGUGGCCUGUCGCGUCGGCUGUGAAAACUCGGGGCUCAACUCCGAGCUUGCAGUCGAUACGGGCAGGCUAGAGUUCGGCAGGGGAGACUGGAAUUCCGGGUGUAGCGGUGAAAUGCGCAGAUAUCAGGAGGAACACCGGUGGCGAAGGCGGGUCUCUGGGCCGAUACUGACACUGAGGAGCGAAAGCGUGGGGAGCGAACAGG
rnacentral:rRNA from 1 species